rnacentral:lncRNA from 1 species
CUAGUACUGAUCUUAAGAAGAAAGAUUUGGAAUGGUUUGCCUUUUCCAGAAUGGAAAUUUUGCUGUAAUAGCUUGAGAGCAGGAGAAAAAAAUAUUUGUCAAUAGGCUAAUCCUAAAGCUUAAGCUACUAGUUGGAAAGCAGUGUCCCCACCACAAGUUUUGUGCUGCUUUUUCCUGAAGAAAUUUUUUAAAGUUUCGUAUGUGUCAAAACAAUUUUGAUGGUUUCAUUCUACUUUUAGGAGAGGAAAAUAAAAAUCAUCUCCAUACCAGACCAGAUGAAUCUAACAAAAUCUUGUUGCAAACACUUACAUCCAUGCCACUCAUGAGAGCUGAGCAUUUGCCGUUGUACGUUCCUUGGUCUGCUGUUCUCUUCUGCCAUGUAAGAGUGAGCCUUGGGCAUGAAGGCUGAAGAAUUUAGAGGU